AAGUCGUAACAAGGUUUCCGUAGGUGAACCUGCGGAAGGAUCAUUAACACGUCUAUCUAACAACUUACACGUGAACCACACAAUCGCUUUGGUGUUGAGACUUUUUGUUGAUGUACAAUUAAUAAAUUGUUUCUUCACCAAAGUUCUUUGUUAUCUUUUCAUUAAGAUAACAAAGGCGAUGAAAAUGUUUGAAAAAGUUCACCCUUUUUCAAACAUUCUCAUCGUUACUGUUCAAUACAAUUUUGAGUAAUAUUCUGUGAAAUGUCACAACCAAAAUAUAACACUUUCAACAGUGGAUAUCUUGGCUCCCA
rnacentral:misc_RNA from 1 species